CGGCGGACGGCUGAGUAACGCGUAGGAACGUACCCCAAACUGAGGGAUAAGCACCAGAAAUGGUGUCUAAUACCGCAUGUGCUCUGCGGAGUAAAGCUUCGGCGGUUUGGGAACGGCCUGCGUAAGAUUAGCUUGUUGGUGAGGUAAUGGCUCACCAAGGCGACGAUCUUUAGCUGGUCUGAGAGGAUGACCAGCCAGACUGGGACUGAGACACGGCCCAG
rnacentral:rRNA from 1 species